GGAAGUAAAAGUCGUAACAAGGUCUCCGUUGGUGAACCAGCGGAGGGAUCAUUACCGAGUUUACAACUCCCAAACCCAAUGUGAACGUUACCAAACUGUUGCCUCGGCGGGAUCUCUGCCCCGGGUGCGUCGCAGCCCCGGACCAAGGCGCCCGCCGGAGGACCAACCAAAACUCUUAUUGUAUACCCCCUCGCGGGUUUUUUUAUAAUCUGAGCCUUCUCGGCGCCCCUCGUGGGCGUUUCGAAAAUGAAUCAAAACUUUCAACAACGGAUCUCUUGGUUCUGGCAUCGAUGAAGAACGCAGCGAAAUGCGAUAAGUAAUGUGAAUUGCAGAAUUCAGUGAAUCAUCGAAUCUUUGAACGCACAUUGCGCCCGCCAGUAUUCUGGCGGGCAUGCCUGUCCGAGCGUCAUUUCAACCCUCGAACCCCUCCGGGGGGUCGGCGUUGGGGAUCGGCCCUCCCUCUGCGGGGGCCGUCUCCGAAAUCCAGUGGCGGUCUCGCCGCAGCCUCUCCUGCGCAGUAGUUUGCACACUCGCACCGGGAGCGCGGCGCGUCCACAGCCGUUAAACACCCAACUUUCUGAAAUGUUGACCUCGGAUCAGGUAGGAAUACCCGCUGGACUUAAGCAUAUCAAUAGG
rnacentral:rRNA from 1 species